GUUCUUAUAGUUGAAAACAACAGUAACCCUUCACGUUUCAGGUUUGAGAUAAAAACUCAAUAAGAAUU
rnacentral:tRNA from 1 species